GACGAACGCUGGCGGCGUGCCUAAUACAUGCAAGUAGGACGCAGUUGCGAACGGGUGAGUAACGCGUAGGUAACUGCCUAUUAGAGGGGGCUAACUAUUGGAAACGAUAGCUAAUACCGCAUACUAGUAGAUGGACCUGCGUUGUAUUAGCUAGUAGGUAGGGUAAUGGCCUACCUAGGCGACGUUACAUAGCCGGCCUUGGAGGGUGAACGGCCACACUUGGACCGAGACACGGCCCAGAAUCCUACGGGAGGCAGCAGUAGGGAAUUUUCGGCAAUGGGGGGAACCCUGACCGAGCAACGCCGCGUGAGUGAAGAAGGUUUUCGGAUUGGAAAGCUCUGUUGUUAAGGAAGCGGUACUUAACCAGAAAGGGACGGCUAACUACGUGCCAGCAGCCGCGGUAAUAC
rnacentral:rRNA from 1 species